rnacentral:rRNA from 1 species
GGCGGCAGGCCUAACACAUGCAAGUCGAGCGGAAACGACACUAACAAUCCUUCGGGUGCGUUAAUGGGCGUCGAGCGGCGGACGGGUGAGUAAUGCCUAGGAAAUUGCCUUGAUGUGGGGGAUAACCAUUGGAAACGAUGGCUAAUACCGCAUAAUGCCUACGGGCCAAAGAGGGGGACCUUCGGGCCUCUCGCGUCAAGAUAUGCCUAGGUGGGAUUAGCUAGUUGGUGAGGUAAUGGCUCACCAAGGCGACGAUCCCUAGCUGGUCUGAGAGGAUGAUCAGCCACACUGGAACUGAGACACGGUCCAGACUCCUACGGGAGGCAGCAGUGGGGAAUAUUGCACAAUGGGCGAAAGCCUGAUGCAGCCAUGCCGCGUGUAUGAAGAAGGCCUUCGGGUUGUAAAGUACUUUCAGUUGUGAGGAAGGGGGUAGCGUUAAUAGCGCUAUCUCUUGACGUUAGCAACAGAAGAAGCACCGGCUAACUCCGUGCCAGCAGCCGCGGUAAUACGGAGGGUGCGAGCGUUAAUCGGAAUUACUGGGCGUAAAGCGCAUGCAGGUGGUUCAUUAAGUCAGAUGUGAAAGCCCGGGGCUCAACCUCGGAACUGCAUUUGAAACUGGUGAACUAGAGUACUGUAUAGGGGGGUAGAAUUUCAGGCUGUAGCGGUGAAAUGCGUAGAGAUCUGAA